rnacentral:rRNA from 1 species
AAAAACAUGUCCUUUUGUUCUAAAUAUAAGGUUUAACCUGCCCAAUGAUUUAAUUUAAUGGCCGCGGUAUAUUAACUGUGCUAAGGUAGCAUAAUCAUUUGUCUUUUAAUUAAAGGCUAGAAUGAACGGUUGGACGAGGUAUUUUCUUUCUUUAACUUAGUUUAUGAAUUUAAUUUUUUAGUUAAAAAGCUAAAAUUUAUUUGGGGGACGAGAAGACCCUAUAGAUCUUUAUAUUUUAUAUUAUUAUAUAUUUUGGUGUAAUUAAUUGUUUUAAUAGUAUAAUUUAUUUGAUUGGGGUGAUUGUAGAAUUUAAAUUAACUUCUAUUUUUUUAUUCAUUAAUUAUUGUAUUUUUGAUCCAGUUUUAUUGAUUAAAAGAUUAAGUUACCUUAGGGAUAACAGCGUAAUUCUUUUGGAGAGCUCAUAUCGAUGAAGGAGUUUGCGACCUCGAUGUUGGAUUAAAAUAAGUUUUGGGUGUAGAAGCUUAAAAACUAGGUCUGUUCGACCUUUAAUUUUUUACAUGAUCUGAGU